UUUUUUUAGUUCUUGGGCUUGUGCACUUUGGGAGAUGAUACGUCAUCCCUCGGAGACUGCACAUGCAUCCUUGUCCUUGCUUUCUGGCUUCCGUGACCAUGUUCGUUGAUUUUGUGUUCUUGUUUCCCGUGUCUUCGGUCUUUGGUGUCUUUGUUUUCCUUUUGGGCUUUUAUUUUGUGCAUGUGAUUAUUUAUUUCCCUGGUUGUGUGUUUAGUUUCUCUCCCUGUCAUUCGGCUUGGCCGUGGCCCGGGGGUCCCAAGACACAUUAAUUCUCAUGCGUGUGAGUUUAUGGAAGGCAAUAUUAACCCCACUAGUGAUGGGGUUCCGAAUGUUAAUCAGUGCAAUAAGUCGGAGGUGGUUAAUUAUGUGGGUAACAACCAACCAAAGUAAACAUACAAAGCAGUUCUCUCGGCUGAAGAGGGUAGAACCGAGUGUCCAUCAUCUGCAGAAUUUAAUGGAGGAAUCAUGGCAUUCAGUGGAGUGCGACUAGAGAGAUUAUUGGGGCCCAACGAACAUGGAGGUCGAAAUGGAGGCAUCGUCGACAAUGGAGAAUCCAAAGGGGGAGAGAAUGGUUUCUGCAGUUUUGGAGAUCCCAAAAAGCAGAUUCUUGGUAUUGGCUCAACAGGGAGUGUUGCUGAUGUAUAAAUCUGAUAUAAGAUCAGCCUACUUUAAUGCGUACAAAGAUAUGCUGGAUUAGGAUGAACUUAAUGCCCUUAAGCAGGUCUUGCGGGAAAACAACAUCACAGAGGAUGACAUAAAAGCAAAGAAUAGAGAACCUAAAUAGAGAGAUGCUUCACACUAGGAAAAAGCCGCAGAGCCUGAUAUAGAUCUCCCUUGGGAACAAUUGAGACUGAUCCAGCAGAAGGAAGCAACAAUAUAAUUGGGUCAUGGGUUGCAUGAUGACCCGAGUUGUCUUAUAGCUAGUUCUGUUAUAAAACUUGUUAGAUGAUAAUUAUUUUGAUGUGAUGUAAUAUGUUAAUUCUUUCGUAGCUAUAGGCAUUUUGAUGAUACAGUCUGCAGUUUAGUUGAUAAUUUUUUUUUUUGGCAGUUAUGAUACUUUGAUGACAUGAUGUUAUUCGUAAACUAUUUCUAAUUGAAAAAAAAAACUUGGAUCA